AACGUGCUCCGGGGUCGGUGAAAGUCCGAACCGGCGGUGACAGUCCGCGACCCGGCGGCCCAGCUCAUCCGAGCAGGGACGUCGGUUGAGCCGGUGGAAUUCCGGCACCGACAGUUAGAGUCUGGAUGGGAGAAGCACGUG
rnacentral:ncRNA from 2 species